rnacentral:lncRNA from 1 species
CCAAUAUCUCCAUCUCAGAAGUAUCAUUGGGAGGUAAGCCAUUUACAGGUGUAAGGUUAUUGUGAAUAUUACUGCUAUUAGAGUUCUGGUGCCGUUGUUUCUUAAAUCUGCAGCCUGCAUGUCAUCCUUUAGUUGUGUCACAAAUUCUGUAUUGAGCACAUGAUCACUAGUGAAGUCAAAAUUUCCAGAUCUCAAGACAUCUUCCCCUAGUGCCUCUAAAUCCAUGUCAGCUUUCUCUUCAUUACUCUUCCCAGAUCACCCCUCUCAGAAUUUCCAUCCACUUGUCCAGAUUCUGCCUCUUCUAGAUUUUCAUUCCUGGGAGAAGUUUUACCACGGUUUGAAUUGGUGCUCAUACUCUGAAGUUGGAAUUAUAGGUUGAGCAUCUCUGAUUUCAUCUUUUCUACCUACAGAUUAUGAUGGCAUUUCUGCUCUCCAGAUUCAAGGAUAAACAGCGACUGUACAGUCUUCCAAGCAGCUCUUUUCUCCUUCAUUAAUGCCAGGCAACCAAUGAGUGUACCUCACAAAGCUCUCCAAUCUGCCAGUCCAUCUCUUGCAUGGAUUAAAUUAUCUGUAGUGGGCAAAUACAUCCCCAUCUCU